UACGUAGGGUGCGAGCGUUAAUCGGAAUUACUGGGCGUAAAGCGUGCGCAGGCGGUUUUGUAAGCCAGAUGUGAAAUCCCCGGGCUUAACCUGGGAAUGGCAUUUGGGACUGCAAGGCUGGAGUUUGGCAGGAGGAGACUGGAAUUCCUGGUGUAGCAGUGAAAUGACGUAGAUAUCAGGAGGAAUACCGAUGGCGAAGGCAGGUCUCUGGGCUAUAACUGACGCUCAUGCACGAAAGCGUGGGGAGCAAACAGG
rnacentral:rRNA from 1 species